UAUAAGAUGGUCGAAAAUUAGACGUUAGAUUGUAAAUCUAUGAAUAAGUUUUAUAACUUUCUUAUGG
rnacentral:tRNA from 1 species